rnacentral:tRNA from 1 species
GCCUGGGUGGCUCAGUUGGUUGAGUAUCUGACUUCGGCUCAGGUCAUGAUCUUGCAAUUUGUGGGUUCGAGCCCCGCGUCGGGCU